AUGCUGGAUGCCAACAACCUUUUUGCAACAACAAAUCCCGGAAAACCCAACAAACCCUUCUCAAUUGAUUCAUCUGCAAAUCGUUUUGUUUUUGGAAUUUGCCGUCAAUCGCAAACCCUUCAUCAAUUGAUUCUGUUUUUAGAGUAUUUGAGUCUCAAGGUCUUUACACUCAUCUUGAACCGGAGCAGAGUUUUGGGGUUUUCAUUUGAGGCAAAGAUUCCUCUGGAGUUCAAGUGCAAUUAG